GACGAACGCUGGCGGCGUGCCUAAUACAUGCAAGUAGAACGCUGAAGCUUGGUGCUUGCACCGAGCGGCUGAGUUGCGAACGGGUGAGUAACGCGUAGGUAACCUGCCUGGUAGCGGGGGAUAACUAUUGGAAACGAUAGCUAAUACCGCAUAAGAGUAGAUGUUGCAUGACAUUUGCUUAAAAGGUGCAAUUGCAUCACUACCAGAUGGACCUGCGUUGUAUUAGCUAGUUGGUGAGGUAACGGCUCACCAAGGCAACGAUACAUAGCCGACCUGAGAGGGUGAUCGGCCACACUGGGACUGAGACACGGCCCAGACUCCUACGGGAGGCAGCAGUAGGGAAUCUUCGGCAAUGGACGGAAGUCUGACCGAGCAACGCCGCGUGAGUGAAGAAGGUUUUCGGAUCGUAAGGCUCUGUUGUAAGAGAAGAACGAGUGUGAGAGUGGAAAGUUCACACUGUGACGGUAUCUUACCAGAAAGGGACGGCUAACUACGUG
rnacentral:rRNA from 1 species